rnacentral:rRNA from 1 species
AUAUCAAUAAGCGGAGGAAAAGAAACUAACCAGGAUUCCCCUAGUAACGGCGAGUGAAGUGGGAAGAGUUCAAAUUUAAAAUCUGGCAUCCUCCGGGUGUCCGAGUUGUAAUCUAUAGAAGUGUUUUCCGUGCUGGACCGUGUCCAAGUUCCUUGGAAUAGGAUAUCAAAGAGGGUGACAAUCCCGUCCUUGACACGACAACCAGUGCUCUGUGAUACACUUUCUACGAGUCGAGUUGUUUGGGAAUGCAGCUCUAAAUGGGUGGUAAAUUCCAUCUAAAGCUAAAUAUUGGCGAGAGACCGAUAGCGAACAAGUACCGUGAGGGAAAGAUGAAAAGCACUUUGGAAAGAGAGUUAAACAGUAU